rnacentral:rRNA from 1 species
CCUACGGGUGGCAGCAGUGAGGAAUAUUGGUCAAUGGGCGCGAGCCUGAACCAGUCAAGUCGCGUGAGGGAAGACGGUCCUAUGGAUUGUAAACCUCUUUUGUCGGGGAGCAAAAGACGCCACGCGUGGCGUUCCGAGCGUACCCGAAGAAAAAGCAUCGGCUAACACCGUGCCAGCAGCCGCGGUAAUACGGAGGAUGCGAGCGUUAUCCGGAUUUAUUGGGUUUAAAGGGUGCGCAGGCGGAAGAUCAAGUCAGCGGUAAAAUUGAGAGGCUCAACCUCUUCGAGCCGUUGAAACUGGUUGUCUUGAGUGAGUGAGAAGUAUGCGGAAUGCGUGGUGUAGCGGUGAAAUGCAUAGAUAUCACGCAGAACUCCGAUUGCGAAGGCAGCAUACCGGCGCUCAACUGACGCUCAUGCACGAAAGUGUGGGUAUCGAACAGGAUUAGAGACCCCGGUAGUC